AUACUUACCUGUCAGGGGAGGUACCAUGAUCACGAAGAUGGUUUUACCGGAACAAGUCUUAUCUAGUGCACUCUGGAUGUGCUGACCCCUGCAAUUUCAUCAAAUGUGGGAAACUUGAUUGCAUAUUUUUGGUAGUGGGGAAUUGCAUUUGCACUUUACCCUG
ensembl:snRNA U1 U1 spliceosomal RNA